rfam:Rhizoctonia solani AG-8 WAC10335 unplaced genomic scaffold Scaffold_154, whole genome shotgun sequence.
GGGCGCGUGGUGUAGUGGUAUCACGCCUGAUUUGCAACUUGAUGUUCAGGCGGUCCAGGGUUCGAUCCCCUGCGCGUCCA